CCCCAGACUCCUACGGGAGGCAGCAGUGGGGGAUAUUGCACAAUGGGGGGAACCCUGAUGCAGCGACGCCGCGUGGGUGAAGGAGUAUUUCGGUAUGUAAAGCCCUAUCGGCAGGGAAGAAGCAAGACGGUACCUGACUAAGAAGCCCCGGCUAACUACGUGCCAGCAGCCGCGGUAACACGUAGGGGGCAAGCGUUAUCCGGAUUCACUGGGUGUAAAGGGAGCGUAGACGGCGACGCAAGUCUGGAGUGAAAGCCCGGGGCCCAACCCCGGGACUGCUCUGGAAACUGCGGCGCUGGAGUGCGGGAGGGGGAGGCGGAAUUCCUGGUGUAGCGGUGAAAUGCGUAGAUAUCAGGAGGAACACCGGCGGCGAAGGCGGCCUGCUGGACCGUGACUGACGUUGAGGCUCGAGAGCGUGGGGAGCAAACAGGAUUAGAUACCCUAGUAA
rnacentral:rRNA from 1 species